GACGAACGCUGGCUGCGUGCUUAACACAUGCAAGUCGAACGCUGAAGCCUGGUGCUUGCACCGGGUGGAUGAGUGGCGAACGGGUGAGUAACACGUGAGUAACCUGCCCCUGACUUCGGGAUAAGCCCGGGAAACUGGGUCUAAUACCGGAUACGACUGCCGGACGCAUGUCUGGUGGUGGAAAGUUUUUUCGGUUGGGGAUGGGCUCGCGGCCUAUCAGUUUGUUGGUGAGGUAAUGGCUCACCAAGACGACGACGGGUAGCCGGCCUGAGAGGGCGACCGGCCACACUGGGACUGAGACACGGCCCAGACUCCUACGGGAGGCAGCAGUGGGGAAUAUUGCACAAUGGGGGAAACCCUGAUGCAGCGACGCAGCGUGCGGGAUGACGGCCUUCGGGUUGUAAACCGCUUUCAGCAGGGAAGAAGCGCAAGUGACGGUACCUGCAGAAGAAGUACCGGCUAACUACGUGCCAGCAGCCGCGGUAAUACGUAGGGUACGAGCGUUGUCCGGAAUUAUUGGGCGUAAAGAGCUCGUAGGUGGUUGGUCACGUCUGCUGUGGAAACGCAACGCUUAACGUUGCGCGUGCAGUGGGUACGGGCUGACUAGAGUGCAGUAGGGGAGUCUGGAAUUCCUGGUGUAGCGGUGAAAUGCGCAGAUAUCAGGAGGAACACCGGUGGCGAAGGCGGGACUCUGGGCUGUAACUGACACUGAGGAGCGAAAGCAUGGGGAGCGAACAGGAUUAGAUACCCUGGUAGUCCAUGCCGUAAACGUUGGGCACUAGGUGUGGGGGGCAUUCCACGUUCUCCGCGCCGUAGCUAACGCAUUAAGUGCCCCGCCUGGGGAGUACGGUCGCAAGGCUAAAACUCAAAGGAAUUGACGGGGGCCCGCACAAGCGGCGGAGCAUGCGGAUUAAUUCGAUGCAACGCGAAGAACCUUACCAAGGCUUGACAUACACCGGACCGUCCUGGAAACAGGUCUUCUUCUUUGAAGCUGGUGUACAGGUGGUGCAUGGUUGUCGUCAGCUCGUGUCGUGAGAUGUUGGGUUAAGUCCCGCAACGAGCGCAACCCUCGUUCUAUGUUGCCAGCACGUGAUGGUGGGAACUCAUAGGAGACUGCCGGGGUCAACUCGGAGGAGGGUGGGGAUGACGUCAAAUCAUCAUGCCCUUUAUGUCUUGGGCUUCACGCAUGCUACAAUGGCUGGUACAGAGAGAGGCGAACCCGUGAGGGCAAGCGAAUCCCUUAAAGCCAGUCUCAGUUCGGAUCGUAGUCUGCAAUUCGACUACGUGAAGUCGGAGUCGCUAGUAAUCGCAGAUCAGCAACGCUGCGGUGGAUACGUUCCCGGGCCU
rnacentral:rRNA from 1 species